rnacentral:rRNA from 1 species
CGAGGACGAACGCUGGCGGCGUGCCUAACACAUGCAAGUCGAACGGAGUUGAGGAGCUUGCUCCUUAACUUAGUGGCGGACGGGUGAGUAACGCGUGAGUAACCUGCCUCUGAGAGGGGAAUAACGUUCUGAAAAGAACGCUAAUACCGCAUGACACAUAUUUGCCGCAUGACAGAUAUGUCAAAGAUUUUAUCGCUCAGAGAUGGACUCGCGUCCGAUUAGUUAGUUGGUGAGGUAACGGCUCACCAAGACCGCGAUCGGUAGCCGGACUGAGAGGUUGAACGGCCACAUUGGGACUGAGACACGGCCCAGACUCCUACGGGAGGCAGCAGUGGGGGAUAUUGCGCAAUGGGGGCAACCCUGACGCCAGCAACGCCGCGUGAAGGAUGAAGGUUUUCGGAUUGUAAACUUCUUUUCUCAGGGACGAAAUCUGACGGUACCUGAGGAAUAAGCUCCGGCUAACUACGUGCCAGCAGCAGC